UUCAGUGACCGUCUUUCAUGGCAUAAGCUGCUACACUUCAAGCUUGAGAGAAAAUCAUGAUACAGGGAUACCAUGAUUGCUGAGAAUCGAGAGGAGUGAGGGAGGAAUGAGUUGAUAUGGCGAUGGAGGAAAUGUGAGAACUAGAAGGUUCUAAGAAUAUGUAGGAUAAGAGAGAAAUUGAGAGUAAAAGGGGAUACAAG
rnacentral:lncRNA from 1 species